AUGGGAGCAGCCUUGUCCAUCUCCACCGUCGACGCACUAGCCAGGGCGAUCAAGAACAAAGUGCGUCGGAGGUGGUUAACUGCGCCCCAUCAUGGCACCGCCGAUUGGUCUGGCCUGCCGGAGGACCUCCUCCUGACCGUCAUGGCAGAGCUGGAUGUCCCCAGCAUUAUCCGAUCCGGCGCCGUCUGCACGUCCUGGCACCACGCCUAUGAGACCUUCCGCCGCCUCCAGCUUCCCUCGCCAAAGCAGGCCCCUUGCCUGUUCUAUGCAUGCGACGAGUACGGGCCCAACAAUACCGCCCUGUAUUGUCCCUCCACAAACGCCACGUUCCGUGUCCCCUUUCAAAGGCCCCUCGAGGAGAGCCGGGGAUUCGUCUCCUCUUGUCACGGCUGGGUGUUCUCCACCGAUGAGUCCGGGGACCCGUACCUUCUCAACCCUAUUACCGGCUCCCGGGCCGCGCUCCCACCGUUCGUGACAAUCUACCACGGGGAGAGCCGCUAUGACCACGACCAUAAGUGUGCUCUGAAGGCUCGACUGGAGAACAGAUCCCACAACCCGAUGGUCACCUGGGCAUGGCAUUCGGGGUAUAUCCGGGUUGCCAUCUCCGCUGCCACCGAGAUAGACGCAUGCACUGUGGUAAUCGUGCAUACCCCAGACGAGUGGAGGCUCUCCUUUGCUAGGCCCGGUGACAAGCAGUGGACAUUGCUCCCUAGCGACCAAGGCUUUAUAGAUGUUCUUUACAAUGAUAAGGACGGCUUGUUCUACGCUCUAGGUUGUGAUUGUUCUAUUUACACGAUAGAUCUCAAUGGCCCUUUGCCGAUGGUGACGAUGAUCAUGUGUGGCGUGUCAUCCUGGGGCAACCCUACCCAGUAUCUCGCAUUCUCCCCAUCAGGUGAACUUCAGCAAGUCUGGAGGAUCUGGAAUUGCGCACAUGUUCCAAUCAAAAAUAUGGUCGAUGAUGGCAGUGUAGAUUUCGCGAACGAAUAUGACGACGGCAAGUUCAGUGAGCUGUUUGAAGAUGAUUAUAAGUUCACUACGGCGAAGCUCUUCAUUUUCAAGGUUGACAUUGGCAGGCAGAAGCUGGUGGAGCUACGGGAUAUUGGAGACCACGCGCUAUUCCUCGGGUACAACAAUGUCGUGUAUGUUUCCACUAAGGACUUUCCGGCGUUCAAACCAAACCACGCUUACCUCACGGAUGACCGUUUUGAAUGUAAGCCAAGAUUGAAAGAGGACCUGGGUAUUUGGAACGUCAAGGAGAGGAAUAUGCAGAAACUUGAGGAUGCAUGGCCAUGCAUGUAUUCUUGGCUAGAUUUACCAGCUCCGAUUUGGAUCACGCCAAGGUUUUAG
rnacentral:rRNA from 1 species